rnacentral:rRNA from 1 species
AUGAAAUAUGAUCCUGCUUAUGCUACUUCACCUAUCUUUGUUACUGAUAAGGAUUAUGAAUUCUCCAUUGAUCCUGAUAUAAUUAUUUUGGUUGAAUUCGAUCCUUUUUAUGACUAUAAAUCUGAAACUGUUGUGGCACAUCUUACUAAAUUAAAUGAUAUAGCUACCCUGUUUACUAAUGAUGAGAAAACUCGCUACUAUUAUAUCCUUAAAAUAUUUUCGUUCUCAUUAAAGGGUAAUGCUAAGAUAUGGUUUAAUUCUCUUGAUCCUGGUUGUGUGCGUAGUCCCCAGGAUAUGAUUUAUUACUUCUCUGCUAAAUAUUUCCCUACUCAUAAAAAACAAGCUGCUUUAAGGGAAAUAUAUAAUUUUGUGCAAAUUGAAGAAGAGAGUCUCCCACAAGCUUGGGGGAGGCUUCUCCAAUUACUUAAUGCUUUGCCUGAUCAUCCUCUCAAGGAAAAUGAAAUACUUGAUAUCUUUUAUAAUGGACUAAACGAUGCUUCCAGAGACCACCUGGAUAGUUGUGCUGGUUCUGUUUUCAGGGAAAGAACACCGGAUGAAGCUGAAAUUCUAUUGAAUAAUAUGUUGACCAAUGAAAAUAAUUGGACACUUCAUGAACCAACUCCUAAGCCAACUCCGAAGAAAAGGGGUGUUCUAUUUCUCAGUCUUGAAGAUAUGCAAGAGGCAAAGAAAUCUAUGAAAGAAAAAGAUAUAAAAGCUGAAGAUGUUAAGAAUUUACCUCCUGUUGAAGAAAUACAUGGUCUUAAUUUACCGCCUGUUGAAGAAAUAUAUGAUCUUAAUCCAUUACCUAUUGAAGAAACUCAUGGUCUUGAUAACCCGACAUAG